AACGACUCUCGGCAACGGAUAUCUUGGCUCUCGCAUCGAUGAAGAACGUAGCGAAAUGCGAUACUUGGUGUGAAUUGCAGAAUCCCGUGAACCAUCGAGUCUUUGAACGCAAGUUGCGCCCCAAGCCUUUUGGCCGAGGGCACGUCUGCCUGGGUGUCACA
rnacentral:rRNA from 1 species